CAACCUGAGAGUUUGAUCCUGGCUCAGAGCGAACGCUGGCGGCAGGCCUAAAACAUGCAAGUCGAACGAACCCUUCGGGGUUAGUGGCGGACGGGUGAGUAACACGUGGG
rnacentral:rRNA from 1 species